rnacentral:rRNA from 1 species
CCUACGGGUGGCAGCAGUAGGGAAUAUUGCUCAAUGGGGGAAACUCUGAAGCAGCAACGCCGCGUGCAGGAUGACGGUUUUAGGAUUGUUAACUCCUUUUGUUAGAGAAGUUUAUGACGGUAUCUAUCGCAUAAGCACCGGCUAACUCCGUUCCAGCAGCCGCGGUAAUACGGAGGGUGCAAGCGUUAUUCGGAUUCACUGGGCGUAAAGAGUGCGUAGGCGGGGUAAUAAGUCAGAUGUGAAAUCCUGUAGCUUAACUACAGCACUGCAUUUGAAACUGUUACUCUGGAGUGUGGGAGAGGUAGGUGGAAUGGUUGGUGUAGGGGUAAAAUCCGUAGAGACCAAGAAGAAUACCCAUUGCGAAGGCGACCUGCUAGAACAUUACUGACGCUGAGGCACGAAAGCGUGGGGAGCAAACAGGAUUAGAUACCCCUGUAGUC